UAUUGGACAAUGGGCGAAAGCCUGAUUCAGCCAUGCCGUGUGUGUGAAGAAGGUCUUCGGAUAGUAAAGCACUUUAAGUUGGGAGGAAGGGUUGUAGAUUAAUACUCUGAAAUUUUGCCGUGACCGACAGAAUAAGCACCGGCUAACUCUGUGCCAGCAGCCGCGGUAAUACGAAGGGUGCAAGGGUAAAUCGGAAUUACAGGGCGUAAAGCGGAAGUAGGUGGUUCGUUAAGUGUGAUGUGAAAGCCCCGGGCUCAAACUGGGAACUGCAUCCAAAACUGGCGAGCUAGAGUACGGUAGAGGGUGGUGGAAUUUCCUGUGUAGCGGUGAAAUGCGUAGAUAUAGGAAGGAACACCAGUGGCGAAGGCGACCACCUGGACUGAUACUGACACUGAGGUGCGAAAGCGUGGGGAGCAAACAGG
rnacentral:rRNA from 1 species